CUACGGUCUGAUCAGUCUGAAAACACCAGUUGCCCCGUUCGAUCAUCGAAGUUAAGCAACGUCGAUCCCAGUAAAUACUCUGAUGGGAGACCGCUUGAGAAGACAGAGUACUGUA